rnacentral:lncRNA from 1 species
GCCUCAACCAAAGCGCAAACGAUCAUGCUAGACGCAGUUGUUCGUUUCAAUCCCUCUUUUGCCUGGACCGCCCUUUCGGGUUUUCAGUCCACCGGGAUACCCUUUUUUGCCCAAGUCGCCUUUCCAGGUUUAAAGCGCAAACGAUCAUGCUAGACGCAGUUGUUCGUUUCAAUCCCUCUUUUGCCUGGACCGCCCUUUCGGGUUUUCAGUCCACCGGGAUACCC